UGUUUGAUUGACAUCCUGUUGGGUGCUAACGACUUGUUUCAAGCUACUGCGAAAUAACAUUGAUCCUGCGGCACUUCAAGAGAGCCAUCCUAAGGCGAAGAAGCUCUCUCGGUUUCUUAGUGCUCACCGCGUUCUCUGUUUGCUAAGAUUAAACUCUCAGUAGGCUCAGAACAACGCAAGCUCCCGUAUCUCCGAGUCGUCUUCAAUGCCUACUACGCUAGUCGGCUAGUUAGAUUAAUUGAAUUGCUCCUUGAACGAUGGACUUCAGUACUCAAUAGCCCUCGUUUCAUGAUUGAUUGCACACGUUCGUCUCUUGAAGAUCGGGUCGUCAAAGACGCUUCCAUACCGACGGAGUUUCACAUUUCGCUCCGCAACUAGUCUCCAGUUCAAGCGUUUCUCUUAUCGAUUAUCGGCCGGUUAUGGUGACAAACGGACUUAACACCCCACGACGAGUUGUGCCCGGUCGCGCAAAUCCAAAGUGCCAAUAGUGCCUCUGAUUGGCAUAUUAGCAAACCUAGCGCCGCCGCCGUCGUGUCGUGUCGGAUGGACGGACGACGAUCAUCAUCACCACGGCCAGUUACGGGCCAGUUUCUGCCGCGAUAACACGUUUCACAGUAUAUCCGUGAGUACGCGCGCGCGGGUCUCAACCGCUAGACGAUAUCACCACGCCGCGCGGUCAGGACAGGAAACUAUAGUUAACCCACACGACGAGCGCGCCGUUGAUUGACCGGUUGUAAGUUAACGGCCGGCGCCUGCCGGAGAUCGGUUCAGAGUUUGAUCACGUUCGUCCGUUGGUGAUAAACGCAAAUCGAUUGAUACCCUUUACCUGAUGGACGGUGCCUGUGUAGAGUGUUGUUCAGGAACGGGAACUGCGAAAUCCAAGUAGGCUGCUGAGACGAGUAGUUGGCCGGUGCAGCUGAGUCGAACGCUACACCUUUAUUCCAGACUGCUGUGUUCUGCUGCCCUUAUAGCAGAAGUGAUUCUUAUCGCCUACUUUGUGUGCCCGUGCGAUUAGUUGAACGAAUUCGACCAACGAGAAGUGAAGUGCAUUGUGGGGUGCGAUUUUUCUGAAUAGAAAUCUCCUCGAAGAGAAACUGAGCGAAUUAGGUGUAUUUAAAUUCGGAAGAAACACAACUUCUUCGACGGUGAACAGAAGAAAUUCGGCUAAGGCCGGUACGCGAAUUGUUUGUGUUGUGCCUACCGAGUGCAGUUUUGUUUUGCGUGUGUCAAAGCCUACAGACUGCGCGGAUGCGGAUUGUUUAAGAGAUUAAGAUUCUACAUCAUUAGUGCUACUUCCGCAUAUCAGUUAUACCGACACCGAUGACAAUUACCUUAAUUAACCGACGAUUUCGAGCAUCAUUAGUCUUGUAAUACGGAUAGCCGAAAAAACAAACGAUGUAACUAGCAUUCCGCGCAUCCCUCGGAGCUGCUUACUUACUAUGGAAUUGUACAUCGGCGAGGAUCUCCUAGCCAGUGCCAGCACCUGGAUGAACUUCGUCCCCAUCCCGUUCUACGCCCGCAUCCUGCGGUUGUUGCUUCUCCAACUGGAUCUGCCGGAUAAUUUCCACCAGUCAACCGACGACUGCUAAUCAAUUCUCCUGCGGACCACCGCAAGAUCGUUUCGUUCUGAGCACAUCCGUCCAUUCAUCGAGUAGUCGGCGCGGCGCGGCACGGCGCGAUUCGAUCUAGUUGGCGUGCGUUCUCAGAUGUGCACCAAUAAAUAUUGCGAAAGAAGAACAAAUUGCAAUCUUGGAUGAAAAUAUUUAAAUCAAUUCACCGGAGCGAAGUAAUUAUUGCGGCAUACAGGAAGGGACUCGGGAGUGAUGAAUGGGCAAAUGAGAUGAUAGGCAUUAAUUAAAAGUGUGUUUCAUGUGAUAAGUGUGGACCUGUGUUUGCUCCUCGGUGAUAUUCCUCGUAGGCGCGGGUCGCGAUUUAGUGCAGUGGAAUACAAUAAAAAUAUGGUUAAUUAAUAGCAAAAAGAGUAGAAGAUCGUGCCGGAGCGCAGAGACAUACACCGCAGCUCGAAGGCUCUGCCUACUGGGAUUCGGGAUUAUUCUCACAUAACGCUACCGACUCGCCGCGAGUGUGCAAGUGUCACGGAGAUCGGGAGAGGAUCACCACCCAAGCAGGCGACGAACCUUUUCGCGAGUGCGCAGCUAAACCAAGAAUUUUGAUAGCAUCGUCAGCGACGACAGGUGAUUUACCGCCAAAACAAGUUCCAACUGAUCAGAAAGCCACAAGAAAGUCGAUUCCGGUUUUGGUCGGAUGUUUUCGAGUUCAGAAUCAGAACCCUAGUGCAAGAUCUGAAGCAUCAAUAUUGCUAAGAGAUAAAGAUGACCCCGAAGGAGUGGCUGGCACUGUUUGCUUUCUACGCGGCGUAUCUGUUCUUCGGGGCCAGCGUGUUCUACCACAAUGAGCACGCGCUGGAGACGGAGAGGCGCGCCGAGGAGCUGGCCGAGCGGAUCGAAAUGAACGAACUACUCACCAAGUACCUGGCGCCCCACGAUAACGAACUGCAGCAGGAGCUGCUGGUCCGCCUGAACGACUACUGCGACAAGAAGGUCACCAACUACACCCUGGACGAGUACGAACCACCGUACGUAUGGAACUUCUACCACUCGUUCUAUUUCGCCUUCAUCGUUUGCUCCACCAUCGGCUAUGGCAACAUUUCGCCCAACAACACGUUCGGACGAAUUUUCAUGAUCUUCUAUGCGUUGAUCGGCCUCCCGGUGAAUGGUUUCUUCUUCGCCUACUUGGGUGAUCUAUAUGGAAAAACUUACAUUCGACUGUACCGAAAGUACAAGCAGUUCAAGCUGUCGUCCAACCGGCAGUACGUCCCGCACAAGGUUAACUUCAUUGGGCAGAUUGUCCUCUAUCUGAUCCCGGGUAUUGUGAUCUUCAUCUUCGUGCCGGCGGCCAUUUUCAGCUACUUUGAAAAAUGGCCCUACGAUGUUUCGGUGUACUACUCGUUCGUCACGUUGACUACGAUCGGGUUCGGGGAUUACGCCAGCACGUUCCAGGCCUCGCAGGAGCACGAGUUCGGGACGGCCUACAUCUACUACCAGGUCUUCGUGAUCCUGUGGUUCUUCGCCGGAGUUGGUUAUGUGUUCAUGAUACUGGGUUUCAUUGCGAAAGGAAUGGCCCACAAGAAGGUCCAGCAGUUGGAGAAGAUGUUGGCCGUCAACGUGCGGGCAGCUCAAAAUCGGGUUUGGAAUGGUGUAACCAAGGAUAUCAGCUACUUGAGGAAGAUUCUGAACGAAGUCUACAUGAUGAAGUUCAAGCCCGUGUUCGAAGAACCGUCGGACCGCUUCGCUAGCAUGAACCUCAGUCGUUCAGAUUCCUGUCCAGACCUGACGAUGUACCGCGAGGAGGACGUCGAUCCAAUCGCCAUUUGCCGCAAGCGGGCCUACUCAAUCAGCACUACGGUGGCGCAGGUGGAGCCCCGACAGCGUUCGAAAUCCGUCACGUCUUCGAUCCGACGCCUGUCCGAUAGCGAUCUCAGUCGAAUCAACAAGGAGAAGACCUUCGGCAUCCAGGCACUGGUGCAACCGGCCGAGUUGCUGGCGAAGGUCGUCUCGGCUCUGGCCCACAUCAACCCAGUCGACGAGGACGGCCAAAGCAUGUUGGAUCAGACUUCGAUCAACACGGGAAUCAACUGCUUCUCGGACUCGCAGAUACUGGCCAGCGAGCAGACGUGGUCCGGGUGGUCGCAUGGCGGAGGAUCAGAUAAUGCUUAUCUGACGACUCCUCCCAUGGGCAGACCAAGGGCCUCCUCGGACAUCGGAUUGGCACCACAUCAGACGCCGGGCAAUCCGUACGAUUGGACCUGGAGCGGUGGCGAUGCCCUUCAAAUCAAAGAAAUGAUGAAAAUCCGACAGAAGGCGCAGAAAUCACGGGACAACCUACUGAGGACGGCCCUGUCCAACAGCAAACAACAGUUCGGCUCGAAUGUUUCGUUCGAAGCCCCUCCACCGCCAAGGGAGCGACUAUCAUCUUUCUCUGCGUUGAACCGCCGACUUCUGCAGCGAUUGAAUCCCUUCAGGAAGUCUUCAGUACCUUCCGAAACCAAGCCCAGCCCCAUAUACGACGUGGAAUCGGCUCGACCCAUUGAGUCGUACCUGUCCAGCACUUCCCGAGGACGGGCCUCGAUGUUCAACUUCUCACCGCAGCAGCAGUACCUGGCGGCAACGGCUAAAGGUCGAGGCAGCUUGAUGUCACUUCCGCCCUCGGACGAACACCUCUUGGAAACAACCACCAUCGGCGACCUCAUCCGGGCCUUGGAAAUGGCUCACACGCAAGCCGCCGUAUCGAACUACGCUACCGUAGGCGCUGGAAAGCCUCCACAGCGAAAAAUCGCCACAUCCGCUGCCCCUCAAAUGCCGCCUUCGAUCAUGUCGAUCUUCCCUAACAAUCCGGAUUCAGCCCCUCGCCGAGGAUCACUCAAACCACAUCUCGGUCAAUCACUGAGCAACCCACUACAAUCUAGUCCUCUUAGCCAUAAUCCAGUGACUUCCUCGACGUUCCGUCCAGCGAAUCCUCCGCCAUACAGCGCUACAUCCCCUUACACGCCUUCUCCCAAACCCCUCCGGCGACGCUUCAGCGUUCGCCUGUCCAGUCUAGCCUACCCACCGGGUCAGUGCCCCCGCUCGGGAACACCCGUAGACCCGUCCAGUCCCCUCACAUCGUCCUCCUCUUCACUCCACACACCCACUACAACCCUUCAGCGGAAACUCUCCAAUCGCCCGAGUCCGCUGGCCAUCCAGAACCAGAGCCUCCUGACCGUACCGUCCUCCGUCGGGGCCAGUGGAACCACCAAACCCUGGCGACCGGCCCUCCUCCGAUCCGAUUCGGACCAAACGACGAUGCAGCACCUGACGCCGGUGCAGAGAAUUGCUCCGGGCGUCCUAGGAUCCCGCUGUCGUCACAGUAGCCUAAGUCAACCGGCCGACGAACCCCGUACCAAGGACGACUAUGGAAACAGCUGAUCCCAUCCGAACGGCUGAAACCCGAAGCCCCGAAUGACAUCCCGUUUAACAUUUCAGAUUCUUUGACCAGGAUUUUUGGUCUAUCAUCGCGUCGCACGAUAGGUAGACCCGGAAACGUUACUCGGGAUCAGUGAAACUAAACAGUAUUGCCUUAGUAGUUGUAGGGAAGGUGUUGCAGAUCAUGGCGAUGGUCAAUCGUCAGUGAGAGAGCACCAUUACUAACGUUUAAGAAACCAAUUCCAGCCAAUUUAGUGAUUAGGAUUACAACAGUCCGUAACUAGUAAAGCAGUAAGUCGCCUUUAUAGUCAUGUAAGUAUUUUACAGUAAUGAUCAGGCUUUUUAUUCUUGUACAAUAAUGUUGGUACGACACCAUUCCAAAUGGAACGAUAGUGAGACAAAGUUUUAGCGGGAGAUUCAAGAAGAGAAACAAAAUCUUGAUGGAAUCAAGUUGCCAAAAUCAACGCCAUGCCAUAGUUUUUGGGAGGAGUUUAAAGAUGAUGUUAACUAGUGAAACAAAUUAUGCAUAAAGCUUUAGAGGGUGAAAUUAACGAGACUUGAUUAAAGAGGCCAAGAACGUUAGAGCAUUCAAAUGAUAUAUGGAUGAAAGUUGA